GCCCCGCUCAGCCGCGCGGGGGGACGCAGUGGCAGCGCCUGGCGCUGUGAGCGACGCGCCCCGGGGGGGGGUGAUGCGAUGCUGAGCACUGACGGCCUCCGGGCUGCGCACGCGGGGCUCGGUGAGCUCACUGUGCAGCUAAACGACGAGAGCGACGCGUCGUGCUUAGGAAAUACGUUGGAUAUUGUGGGUCUGUAAAGGAAAAGAAGGAAAAAAGCGUUUUGUUUCAUGGACCGUGAGCAGAUAACGUAUCACGCGGUCACGCAUUGGGGAUGGUGACGCUGAUGCCCGAGAUGGCCCCGGGCGGCCGCGGGAUGACGGCAAUCCCGGGGACCCCGCACCGCGCCCGGCUCACAGCCGGGGAGGAGGAGGAAGAGAAUGAAGGCAGCGGUGCCCAUUGGGCCUCGGGGCACUCCGUGGCCAUGGAGGUGGCGUGCGCGGCCCACGCUCCCGUCUUUACGGUGAGCAGCAUGGUGGCCCCCUGCAGCCUCCGCCGCGGCCCCGAAGCACCGGGAGCCUUCGUGCUGGGGCUGCCGGGGCGGGGGCUGCUGCUGGACUCACAGCCGCCCCUCACCUCCGUGGAGAACCUGCGCCUCGGCUUCGCCGCCGGCAUCCUCAUCCUCAUCGUCGCCACCUUCUUCCUGCUCGUCUUCCUCAAGUAGUGACGGAGGGCUCAGGGCCAGCACUGCGGCCCCCACCGUCCCCCGCUGGGGCCCGUCUCGCCUCCAGGCAGCCAACACGGACCCACGGCGGGGUCAGGAAUUCGGGCUCAGCCUCAGCGCGCGCAUCGGAUCCUGGUGAGGUGGGGAGAGGACGGGGGCUCCGCUUCCCACCGGAUCAGCCCCGCGCUGUGGGAGCUGCAGUGCACUCAGCCGUGGCCACGCGGCACCGACGUGGGCCCCAGGGCAUCAGACUUACUAAAAAUUAACAGAUUUCAGCGCUUUCCUUUACCCCCUGGGACCUGGCUGUGCUCACGCUGCGUUUAUGACUUUCCCGGAGCCUCCAGCCAUCCCAGCAGUGGGAGUCACAGCGCCCUGGAACAUUCCUUGGGCUGCAUCCACACAUGGCAUCCAGAAGCUGCCGUGGCUGCGCUCACCCGCAGUGUGCUGAGGGCGAUCCACAGCGAUCUGCGGUACCUCCGUGCACUUCAGGGGUCAGAGAUGGGCAUCACCCAUCCCACGCGGCUGUGAGGACCACGGGAGAUGGGAUGGGAAAGGGCUGUGCUGUUUUUCUGUCGGUGAAAUGUUAAACAACUUCCUGUGCUUUCUCCUCGCGCUGCUCAGAGCAGAGCCACGGCCCCCACUCUGGCUGUAUGCACAGGGAUGGGGCAUCUGGGGAAAGGCAGCUGGGAAAGAUAUUAAAAAUGCACAUUGGUCCA
ensembl:lncRNA